AGAAGGACUAUUCGGGGGAAGCCGAAUGUGGGGUCUGAGAAGGUGAGCGGAACCUUCUCAUAGGUGGGAACUGCAGGGACGAGGAGGUCGGGAAGAGUCCUGGCGGGUGAGGUGAGGGUCGAGGGGCUGCCACUCCUCGGGAGCGCCUAGCUUCAGGAGGCUGGGACGUGACCAACCCCGCGCCUGCCGAGAGGUGAACGCCUGGUCUUCAGAGUGGAAUUGGGCUUAUUGUUGAAGCUUGUUUUCUCAGCCCGGGCAAAUUUUUACAUUUUAAUACUUUUUUCUUACGAUGGCAAUGUCUUCCAUUCACAAAUUACUGACUGGCAUUUACAUUCAUAAAAAUUUCCUGAGGCCAAGGGCUGCAUUACCUCCAUUUGUGGGUAGUCACUGUGUAGACUAUUCUUCCAGUAGUCUUCAGAAAAAAGUGACUUCUGUUGACAGAGCCUCCCAGCAGGGAAAGACUGAAGAGGGCUUACAAGGACAUGACCACAAAGAAGUUGCUUUGGAUGCACCUUCUCCUGACAGGACACCUGAAGUUAGUUUUGAUAAAGCAAUUAGAGAUGAAGCAAUAGAACAUUUUAGACGUUUGAAGGAUGAAAUUGUGGCUCAUUUGAGAGGCCCAGACGGCCGCCCAUUACAAGAGGUCAUAAUGGAACAAGCCAGGGUUGUCUGGCAGUUUCGUGAAAAAGAAGAUUUGGAUAAGUGGAUAGUGACUUCUGAUAAGACAAUUGGAGGUAGAAGUGAAAUAUUCUUGAAAAUGAGCAAGAACAACCGAAGUGCCCUGCUUUAUGGAACUCUGAGCUCUGAGCCUCCUCAGGAUGGGGACAGUAGACAAAGUGGAUACUGUGCCAUGAUCUCCAGGAUUCCACGGGGUGCUUUUGAGAGGAAGCUGUCUUAUGAUUGGUCCCAGUUCAAUACUCUGUAUCUCCGAGUUCGUGGGGAUGGACGGCCUUGGAUGGUAAAUAUCAGGCAAGACACGGAGUUUAUCCAGAGAAAAAAUCAGAUGUACAGUUACUUCAUGUUCACCCGUGGGGGACCCUACUGGCAGGAAGUCAAGAUUCCUUUCUCCAAAUUUUUCUUUUCAAAUCAAGGAAGGGUACGAGAUGUCCAAGGCCCACUCGUAUUGGACAAGGUGAUGUCACCACUCAUAAUGAGGCCUUCCUUAGUGAACUGCAGUUGUUGUGAGCUCCAGCUCAGCCUGUUUUGUAAGGAUGGCAGAUGACGGAUUAAAAUUCCUGCCCAGGCUCCUCUGUUAGGACAGAAGCCGACUUGGACCUCCUUCCUGGGGGAUAUCUCUUCUAUAGGAUUCACUCUGUCUGAUAAGGUGGAUGGACCAUUCUUCCUGGAAAUAGAUUUCAUUGGUGUGUUUACUGAUCCAGCCCAUACAGAAGAAUUUGCUUAUGAGAAUUCUCCCGUUCUUAACCCAAGACUCUUCAGAUAGAGAACUGGGGACGUCAGUAGAGUAGUGGUCACAAAGCAGACAGAGCCUUUCUGUCUACCCGACCCCUUUCGUAGUACUUACUUAAGACGGUAAGUACAGCAUGGCCUCUCAGUGGAAGUUCUUCUGAGUGCUUACAUAAAGAUGAAUCAAAGGAAGUGUACUGAAAACAAAAAUAAAGCCUUUCUGCCUACCACCUA